rnacentral:rRNA from 1 species
AGUAAUGCAUAGGUAACGUGCCACUUAGUCUGGGAUAGCCACUGGAAACGGUGAAUAAUACCGGAUACUCCUUCUCACUUAAUGUGAGUUGGGAAAGUUUUUCGCUAAGGGAUCGGCCUAUGUUGUAUCAGGUAGUUGGUGAGGUAAUGGCUCACCAAGCCUAUGACACAUAGCGGGUCAGAGAGGAUGAUCCGCCACACUGGUACUGAGACACGGACCAG